GGGGAAUAUUGGACAAUGGGGGAAACCCUGAUCCAGCGACGCCGCGUGAGUGAAGAAGUGUUCCGGCAUGUAAAGCUCUAUCAGCAGGGAAGAAAAUGACGGUACCUGACUAAGAAGCCCCGGCUAACUACGUGCCAGUAGCCGCGGUAAUACGUAGGGGGCAAGCGUUAUCCGGAUUUACUGGGUGUAAAGGGAGCGUAGACGGCGAUGCAAGUCUGGAGUGAAAGCCCGGGGCUCAACCCCGGGACUGCUUUGGAAACUGUGUUGCUAGAGUGCAGGAGAGGUAAGUGGAAUUCCUAGUGUAGCGGUGAAAUGCGUAGAUAUUAGGAGGAACACCAGUGGCGAAGGCGCCUUUCUGGACUGUAACUGACACUGAGGCUCGAAAGCGUGGGGAGCAAAC
rnacentral:rRNA from 1 species